GAUGAACGCUGGCGGCGUGCCUAAUACAUGCAAGUCGAGCGAACAGACGAGGAGCUUGCUCCUCUGACGUUAGCGGCGGACGGGUGAGUAACACGUGGAUAACCUACCUAUAAGACUGGGAUAACUUCGGGAAGCCGGAGCUAAUACCGGAUAAUAUAUUGAACCGCAUGGUUCAAUAGUGAAAGACGGUUUUGCUGUCACUUAUAGAUGGAUCCGCGCCGCAUUAGCUAGUUGGUAAGGUAACGGCUUACCAAGGCGACGAUGCGUAGCCGACCUGAGAGGGUGAUCGGCCACACUGGAACUGCGACACGGUCCAGACUCCUACGGGAGGCAGCAGUAGGGAAUCUUCCGCAAUGGGCGAAAGCCUGACGGAGCAACGCCGCGUGAGUGAUGAAGGUCUUCGGAUCGUAAAACUCUGUUAUUAGGGAAGAACAAAUGUGUAAGUAACUAUGCACGUCUUGACGGUACCUAAUCAGAAAGCCACGGCUAACUACGUG
rnacentral:rRNA from 1 species